rnacentral:lncRNA from 1 species
UUCAUAAUACAUUUUAUUAUGUCACACCCACCUGCUCUGCUAGGCCAGCCGAGGUCAUGUGAUAAGGCUGCUGCAUCCCAAGGAAAGGGUUUUGGCUUUUACAAGGACAAGUGCUGGAUCAGCCUGAUCUCCUGGGAGUUAUGAAUCAGAUGGUCUGAAUGUCCUUGCAAGACUUGUGGAAAGAGAAAUGUUAUCCACGUUUUUCCUUCAGAACUUUUCAUAGGCGAUCCUGGGAGCUCUGACCUAGAACUGAAAUGACUUUUGACUUUGAAAAUAAUUAGAAUUAAUUUUGCUGCAUCCUGUGUUACCUCUUUCAAAGGGCUUAACUAUCCCAAGCAUCUUGACAUGUCUAGCUAAUCCAUUCCCAACUUAUUUAUCAUGGA